AGAGUUUGAUUCUGGCUCAGGACGAACGCUGGCGGCGUGCCUAACACAUGCAAGUCGAGCGGAGAAUCAUUGAAGAGUAAUCAGAGAUGGUUUUAGCGGCGGACGGGUGAGUAACGCGUGGGCAACCUACCUUUAACUGGGGGAUAACACAGGGAAACUUGUGCUAAUACCGCAUAACAUAUUGAAAGGACAUCCUUUUAAUAUCAAAGGAGCAAUCCGGUGAGAGAUGGGCCCGCGUCCAAUUAGCUAGUUGGUGAGGUAAUGGCCCACCAAGGCGACGAUUGGUAGCCGAACUGAGAGGUUGAUCGGCCACAUUGGGACUGAGACACGGCCCAGACUCCUACGGGAGGCAGCAGUGGGGAAUAUUGCGCAAUGGGGGAAAAACCCCCUGACGCAGCAACGCCGCGUGAAGGAUGAAGGUUUUCGGAUCGUAAACUUCUUUGAUGAGGGACGAAACAAAUGACGGUACCUCAAAAACAAGCCACGGCUAACUACGUGCCAGCCGCCGC
rnacentral:rRNA from 1 species